rnacentral:rRNA from 1 species
CAGUCGCCACGGGAAUACGGAGGGAGCUAGCGUUGUUCGGAAUUACUGGGCGUAAAGCGCGCGUAGGCGGUUACUCAAGUCAGAGGUGAAAGCCCGGGGCUCAACCCCGGAACUGCCUUUGAAACUAGGUGACUAGAAUCUUGGAGAGGUCAGUGGAAUUCCGAGUGUAGAGGUGAAAUUCGUAGAUAUUCGGAAGAACACCAGUUGCGAAGGCGACUGACUGGACAAGUAUUGACGCUGAGGUGCGAAAGCGUGGGGAGCAAACAGGAUUAGAGACCCCUGUAGUCCCUGUCUCUUAUAC